rnacentral:rRNA from 1 species
AGGUGGGGAUGACCUCAAGUCAUCAUGGCCCUUACGCCCAGGGCUGCAAACGUGCUACAAUGGCGGGUACAAAGGGUUGCGAACUCGCGAGAGGGAGCCAAUCCCAAAAAGCCCGUCCCAGUUCGGAUCGGAGGCUGCAAUUCGCCUCCGUGAAGUUGGAAUCGCUAGUAAUCGCGGAUCAGCUACGCCGCGGUGAAUAUGUUCCUGAGCCUUGUACACACCGCCCGUCAAGCCAUGGGAGCCGAGAGUGCCCGAAGCCGCGAUCCCAACCAGCAAUGGAGGGUAGCGUCGAAGGCAAGCUUGGUGACUGGGACUAAGUCGUAACAAGGUAGCCGUAA